GGCCGGUUGGCCCAAUUGGUAAGGCGUCUGACUACGAUCAUAGCACACACGCCUUGUGCUCCUUGCGUUCGCAAUCAGGAGAUUCUGGGUUCGAGCCCCAGGCUGGUCA
rnacentral:tRNA from 2 species